rnacentral:rRNA from 1 species
CCUACGGGAGGCAGCAGUGGGGAAUAUUCCACAAUGGGGGAAACCCUGAUGCAGCAACGCCGCGUGAAGGAAGACGGUUUUCGGAUUGUAAACUUCUGUUCUUAGUGAAGAAUAAUGACGGUAGCUAAGGAGCAAGCCACGGCUAACUACGUGCCAGCAGCCGCGGUAAUACGUAGGUUGCACACGUUGUCCGGAAUUACUGGGUGUAAAGGGAGCGCAGGCAGGUAGCCAAGUCAGCUGUGAAAACUACGGGGUUAAAUUGUAGACUGCAGUUGAAACUGGUUUUCUUGAGUGAAGUAGAGGUUGGCGGAAUUCCGAGUGUAGCGGUGAAAUGCGUAGAUAUUCGGAGGAACACCGGUGGCGAAGGCGGGUUUCUGGACAUUAACUGACGCUGAGGCACGAAGGCCAGGGGAGCGAAAGGGAUUAGAUACCCGGGUAGUC